UGCAUUUCAGUUGCUAGUUAACAUUGCUUUCAUUGUUCUAGGACUCUUGCAACAAAAAAAGCAACCAGCAGAAUCUUGGUACUAUUAAGUCUUCUAACUUGUGUACUGAGAUUAUUGAGUAUACAAGCCCAACGGAAACUGCUGUCUGCAAUCUGGCUUCAAUUGCUUUGCCAGGGAAAAGGGGGUUCCAAUUGAACCACAACCAUCUAAGCAUGUUGGAAGCCGAGGCUCUACAAAUCGAUACUUUGAUUUUGACAAACUGGCAGAGGUUACUGCAAUAGUUACAACAAACCUGAAACCUCAUCUGACACAUUCAUUUUACUUGGCAUGGCUUUUGAUUCACCAGAGACCCAGGAUCUAAACAAAGAAAUAUUUGAAACAAUAUACUACCAUGCUCUGAAAGCUUCUUCUGAUUUGGCUGCAAAGGAAGGCCCUUAUGAAACCUAUGAGGGUAGUCCCAUAAGCAAGGUAUAUGUUAGUGUUUCUGC